UGGCGGACGGGUGAGUAACGCGUGGAAAACCUGCCGUGUACUGGGGGAUAACACUUAGAAAUAGGUGCUAAUACCGCAUAAGCGCACAGCUUCGCAUGAAGCGGUGUGAAAAACUCUGGUGGUAUACGAUGGUUCCGCGUCUGAUUAGCUAGUUGGUAGGGUAAUGGCCUACCAAGGCAACGAUCAGUAGCCGGCCUGAGAGGGUGAACGGCCACAUUGGGACUGAGACACGGCCCAAACUCCUACGGGAGGCAGCAG
rnacentral:rRNA from 1 species